UGCCAAGCCAGAACACACCGAGGGUGGAGUCCGAAACCCACCUCACCUUAGAAGAAAGGAAGCCCAUUAAAGAAGAGUCUUCUAGGCUGGGAAUCUGAGUAGCGGCACUCUUAUGAGCCAAAGGAAUGGGAGUCACAGCCAGCAAGAGGAGCAAGCGAUUAAUAUCCUGGAACCAGGCAGGAAAGCUGGAGCGGUGAGCCUUGGGCUCAUGCUGGGGUCUUUGCCAUACCCCCAGCAUCAGUAUGUUGCAGGCUGUCAUCCCAGAUCUGUGGAGUGAGUGCUCUGACGGAAGGAAAGGCUGUACCCGGAAGGACAGAAGGACGAAGAAGCCUACUAUUUUGCAGGAGACAGCUGAGGACCACCUGAGGCCUCUUGUGCUGGGUGAAGAGGGCUAAUUCUUCUGGCUUAAAGAUACAUUGCAAUAGAGACAGCUAUUAAGUGACCAGUCUGAUGAGAUCCUUUCUACACUGGUUUCCCUGUCUGGAAAAGCCACCAGCUGGUAAUGCUAUCGUCCAGCAAUCAUUCUACACAGCCACACCUCGGGAUGUGAUCGUUGGUAGCCUCACCUGGAUUGAAUUUCCCAAACAAACUUCUGGAAAAGUAAGAGGCCUGAGUUACAGAUCCAGGGGGCAGGGGGAAAAAAUCCCCUGUAAGCUAUAUCUUACACCCGGAUGGUCAGAGAUGCAGGCAUAUUCGAAAAGGGUGAUUCAGUCUCUUCAUCGGAGCACGCCCAUCAGACACUAGGCCAGCCCAGACCCAGACAAAGCUCCUGUUCUAAGAGCCAUGAUUGAAAUUCCUCGUGGAAAGUCUGUCUUUGAGACACUCAGAACACCUCAUUUAAUUCUCAUUUCCUUUUUAAGUCAGGUCCCUCCUUCCCGAGAACCACAUUUAAAGCUGCUAGCUGGCUUCCCUUCUGUUUUGCUCUCUGUGUGCCAACUUCAAGGGUGGGGAGAGCCACGUUAAUUUAAAAAUAUAGCACACAUAGCAAAAGGGGGGUUGAUUUAAAGUAAAAACCACAGGAAGGGUUUUCCCCUUCCCUCCGGUGUUUUUCAGACUUCCCUAGAUUUACCUUUAUUUCCUCAGAGCCCAGACAUAGAAAGUGAGCGAGCCUCAUUGGCUGCUCUUCCAAACUGAAGCAAAAAGCCUCCAGUGGACUGCCAUGGGUUUUAUUCUCCUGUAGGGUCUUUCUAAGCACUCUAGAUUUGGGUCAAUUGUGUCCUACCCCUUUGGAUCAAUUGUAUCCACUUUUGGGUUUUGGGAAUGUGGCUUUAAGGGUCGAGUUCCUAGAUCAAAUCCUGAUCUCAUUAUUUAUUAGUUUUCUGACUUUACAUCAAAUGGGAAUCAUUCACGAUGUUCAGACCAUAGUGAGUCAAGGUCUAAAAAGGGCCUGGAGCAAAAGGAGCGACCAAUAGGAGGUGGCUAUUAUGAAAAUAGACCGGUUCAUCUGUCGGCUCCCUCUCUAGUUUCCAUCUCCCGUUUUGGAACGGAAAGAAAAUUCGUUAUCUAUUUCAAGUGGAGGAUCUACCUCCAUUUUAAAUCACUCGUGAGCUCACCAGAAGGGGAGGCCAGACCGAGCUGAAUUUGCAAAUACCUAGGCCUUUUAACCGAAUGGAAGCCCGGUCCUUGCGCCUUAACAGAACAAGAGCGAACCGGUUGGGACUUGGGAAGCCUUGAAGGGAUGGCAAUGGCUCAGUUUAAAGAAGAAGGUCUAAGUAAGAUCCGGGGGUGGGAGGGAUUCACCUGAAAAAGGAAAGCCGCUGCAAGGUGUCUGUAGGCAGAGCUGACGGCAGUGAAACUCCAUGCGCGUGCGGCAGCGCCCUCUGCCGGCAGCGGGGGCGCAAAUCUGGAGCCUGGCCCCGCGGCUGGUCAAAUGGGACUCCGGAUCCCUUCUGCUGCCUCCGCCCCCGCUCCGUCCCUUCUCGUGAUCGCGCAGCCGGGUCUGGGACUGGAUUCCAGAAGAGGCGUCCCCAUCCUACGCCUGAAGGCAGGAGGAAGGACGCUGCUCUAAAACACCCGGUUCAUCAGCAGAGCGGAGGCUGCAGGAACCUACCCAAACCCACCUGGGGCUGCUUUUGCCUCCCGGAAACCCGGGCAGAAGCCUGCGGGGCGGUCGGAGGUGGUUUGGAAGUGGCAUCGCCUAUGGCCAAGACCGAGAGGGUUCUGCGGACAGAGAGGAGCCCUGGGUUCGCUUUCUGCCUCAUCCAGCUAGGUGACCUUGGGCAAGGUACUUAAAUUUCCAUGUGCCUUGUUUUCCUCAUCUUUAAGAUGGAGAGAACGCUCCCGACCUUAACGGGUUGGCUUGAGGAUUACACGAGAAUAGACAGCCUAGGUUGGGAUUCUGGCUUUGGCAUUAGCUAGCUGUGUGCCCUGGGGCAGGUUACUUAACCUCUCUGCCCUGGUUUCCUGCAAAAUGGGGAUCAUAACGGUACUUACCUCCGAGGGUUGUUGCCUGCAAAGCGCUUAACACUGCCUUGGCAGAGUAAGCGCUCAAUAAACUGUGGCUAUUA